ACACGGUACUCGGCCACACCAUGGGGCGACCGCUGCACCUCGUCCUGCUCAGUGCCUCCCUGGCUGGCCUCCUGCUGCCUGGGGAAAGUUUGUUCAUCCGCAAGGAGCAGGCCAACAACAUCCUGGUGAGGGUCAGGAGGGCCAAUUCCUUUCUUGAAGAGAUGAAGAAAGGACACCUCGAAAGAGAGUGCAUGGAAGAGACCUGCUCAUACGAAGAGGCCCGCGAGGUCUUUGAGGACAGCGACAAGACGCCGGCGUCGUGCCUUGGCCUCCGUAGUCGCUGAGAGCCACAGCCUAGAGCGCCAGCGCGCAGGCGCACAACUGACGCCAGGCCACGAACCCAGUACUGCGCCUGCGCAGCAGAAGCACUAGUACUGAGGCUGGGCCGCGAAGCCAGCACUGUGCCUGCGCAGCAGGAAGACCGGCAUCCAUACCGGGCGACGAACCCAGCACUGCGCCUGCGCAGUAGGAGGAGCACAGUGACACCAGGCCGCGAUUGCGCAGCCGCAGU
rnacentral:sRNA from 1 species